GCAAAUCAAAUAUUGACAUGUGGAAAAAAAAAUCAAAACAAUUAAAAAUAAAAAUAAUUGAAAAUUUAUUUGCAUCCCUUAUUUUUCUGCAGUCUAAAUAUUAACUGUCCACUUCUAUUUUUUCAGAAAUUUGAAGCUACGUUAAUUUUAACAAAAAAAUAAAUCAAUUGUGAGAGAAAUGAUUUUAACAAAAAAAAUAAAUAAACAGACUUUUUAGUUUUCAGAUCCUACAUUUUC
rnacentral:lncRNA from 1 species